rnacentral:lncRNA from 1 species
CCUAGGAAACUAAAUUCCAUCUCUUAAUUUCAUAAGAAAAAUAAGAAAAUUCAUUGAUGAGUAACCCAAGUUUAACCCUCUUGCCCCCAAGUCAUCGUGUUUUGUGCUUUUCUAGGAGUUAUAACCUCUUUUGGCUCCUCUACCUCUCCAAACAAACACAAGUUGUCAUAGCUGAAGACUGAAGAGACAAUCAAGCAAAGAAAGAAAAAAAAAUGCAAGAGACCAUAGUGCUCUACCCAUCGCCAGGCUUGGGCCAUGUGGUGUCAAUGGUGGAGCUAGGCAAACUCAUCCUACAACAGCGAAACCACCAAUUUUCCAUCACCAUUCUCCUUACUACUGGUUUUUGGGACACCCCAAGGAUCAUCUCCUACAUCAAUUCUGUCUCCCAAGCCUACCCAUCCAUCUGCUUUCGCCGCUUCACAUCCGUCUCCGUCUCCAUGGACAAAAAAUGCAGCGUUGCUGCCAUUGCCUUCCAGUUCAUACGCCUCCAUGCGCCCAACGCACUCCAUUCUCUUCAGGAAAUCUCCAAAGAUCACAAGAUCUCUGCUUUUGUCAUAGAUAUUUUCUGCACUUCUACUCUAUCCAUGGGAAAAGAUCUCAAAAUCCCCACUUUUUACUUCUAUACCUCUGGUGCUUCUUCCCUCGCCGCCUUCCUUCAAUUCCCGAAACUUGAUGAACAAACCACUGAGAGCUUCAGAGAUCUCCCUGACACAGUCUUUCAUUUCCACGGCCUGCCACCGUUGAAAGCCAUACACAUGCCAGAACCCGCACUUGAUAGAGAAGAUCCUGCUUAUUGGGACUUUAUAUACUUCUGUUCAGGCCUCGCACUAUCAGAUGGAAUUAUAGUUAACACUUUUCAAGAGCUCGAACCGAUUUCCAUCAAGGCUAUUGCUGAUGAGUUAUGCCUCGUUGAUGCUCCAACUCCACCAACUUACUACAUCGGACCAUUGAUUGCAGCAGGUAGUAAAGCUGAACACGAGUGUUUAUCGUGGCUGGAGAAGCAACCGAGUAAAAGCGUUGUGUUCUUGUGUUUUGGGAGCCGUGGGUCGUUCUCUCGGGUCCAAAUUAUGGAAAUAGCAAAAGGUUUGGAAAGGAGUGGGCAAAGGUUCUUGUGGGUGGUAAAAAAUCCACCUCAGGACGAAAAGGCAAAGCAAACUGAAGAAAGCCCCAAUGUGGAUCUAGACUCUCUUUUGCCAGAUGGGUUUAUGGAGAGAACCAAAGAUAGGGGUCUGGUUGUGAAGUCAUUUGCGCCACAAGUAGUAGUGCUGAACAAGGACUCGGUUGGUGGCUUUGUGACUCAUUGUGGGUGGAACUCCAUCUUAGAAGCAGCGGUCACCGGGGUGCCAAUGAUUGCAUGGCCUUUACAUGCAGAGCAACACUUGAAUCGGAACAUUUUGGUUCAGGAUAUGAAGAUGGCUAUCCCUGUGGAGCAAAGACAGGAAGAUGGGUUUGUGAGUGGAACUGAGUUGGAGAAGCGAGUCACGGAGUUGAUGGAUUCCGACAUUGGCAUGGAGCUUAGAGAAAGGAGCUGGAAGAUGCGAGAGAAGGCCUUGGCUGCUUGGGGUCCGUCAGGGUCUUCCACUAAAGCACUAACCAAGUUGAUUGACUUGUGGAAGCACGGUUGAGAAUCAACUGUUUUGUUUUGUCCUGUUCGCAUGGUAUCAACGGUGGAACACAAAUCCUGUGCCCCUAUUGUGCCCCCAUCCGUAUCUCCUCUCUAUAUUUUUGCCAUCUGUUUUAUCUCUUUGGCUGUUAACAUCAAUUAAAAAAUAAAAAAAAAUCUCAUGCUAGGUUUUCUUUACUGUUGACUGUCUACUUCACUUUGCCCAUGUCUUUGGCUGCCUACUUCUCUUUUACCCUGAUUUUUCAAUUUGACAGGAUUCUUUCAACUUUUGUAAGGUUUUUUUUUAUUUGAUAUCGAGAAUAAGUUUAGAGUCUUUUACUUCUAUUGGUUGGAAAGUAGGGAUGCUGAACUCACUGUUCUUCCUAGAGUCUUCAUCUAGAUCCAAAUGAUAAUACAUGAUAAAACCAGAGUGUUUGCUUUCUUUUUUUUCUUAUUUACUAAUUGAGGUGAGUCUUUUAUCAAUAUUUUUUGGGGGCUACAUGAAAUGGGGGUUUUCUGGGAUGGUUGGCUUUUAGAUGCAGAACUUGCUGGUCUCUGAGCAUGUCCUUACAAGUUAAUUAUGAUUAGUCCACCCAGCUAUAUAUUGGGCUCUCUUCAUAGGCAGCAAAACAAGGAUAACUGAAGUGACAUUGCCAGUUUUCUUUGGUCUCAACUGGAGGACGGUAAACCUACCAAAAUUUAGUGGUUAUGUGUUUGUGUUUUAACAGCUCGGAGCUUAUCUGUCUCUGCCUGUUUAUGGUCAUUGCUUAGGAAUGUUAAUCUUCAUUGCGCGCCUUUGAAUCUCUCUGCUAUAAGUGAGAUGGUUACGCAGCUAGACCUCAUCAUAUUUUUGCCCUGUGAAAUAUUAGACUUUGAAACAAGAGCAGGGAUAAAGUUUUUCAUAUUAGGUUUCAUAGGGUUCAAUCAUUUUAGAUUGGGAAUUCUUUUACUUUGAAAAGUAUCUUGAUGAAUUCAUUAUAUUUUUCAAAAAAAAAUUUCAUGAUUUUCGAUUGAUUAUUUUUUUGACACAAGCAAAAAUAGAAUUUUACCUUUUAUAUCACCGGUUUAAGUCUGUAAAAUCUUAAAGCAAGAUAAAGCAUAUUUUGGAGUAAACGUUCUCACAAAUGUGCGCAAACUUAACGUGAAUAUUAUAGAUGACUAAAGUAAUACAAUGAGGAGGUAGCAUAAAGCUGGCUAAAGAUGUUAAAGUCUAAACUUUGAUGUUAAGUAUGCACAUCUUCUUGUAUAAAAAUUCAGAAAAUUGAAAUAUAAGUUUUAAACCAAAUAAUAAAAAAAAAAGAGAAAAUUGUGAGAAAUACCCCUCAUCAUAAGGUGAUUUAAAAAAUAACCAUCCAUAUAAAGUUAUCUGUUUCUAACCAAAAAAAAGCAUGAGUAGACAAAAAUGCUAUUAAAAAACAUCGUGGCAAAUUAAGCUCUCGAAAUCUCCCUCCUGCCAUAGAGAAAAUAGAAAUAAGAGGAAAUUGUGAGAAAUAAAUGCUCAGCUGUUUGAGCUCGCUCAUCAUUCUCUCUCAGCUAUCUGAACUAUAUCAACUCUGUCAACUCUCUGUUAAGCACCAUCGUCAUCAGCUCUUUUAGCUCUCUUAACAGUAUGAGCUUUGUGAACGCUCUGUUGAGCACCAGCGUGAUUGUGUUGUGGUUUAUCUCUCAGCAUUUGGCCAUAUUGUCAUCGAUAAACAAACCUCAUAGCGAAGAUGACAUCAAGGUAUGUUAUUGGGUUUAUUGCUGCAACACAUAAAUUUGUGAAACUUUUUAAGUAAAUUAAAACACGGAUUAGAAAUAUUGCACAGAGUUGUUACACGCCAUGCAUUUAUAAAGCAGAUGGCGUGUAAAAAAAAUAUUGAAAUAACAUGUGUUAGCACAUGGCAUGUAACAUUUUUAUUUAACAUAGCGUGCAACAUGUUGUGAACAUGAUGUGUAACAAAUUUUUCACUUGCGUGUAACAUGUUUUGAACAUGGCAUGUAACAAAUUUUGAACUUGCGUAUAACAUUUUCGAACAUGGCAUGUAACAUUUUCUAAACAUGGCGUGUAACAUUUUUUUAAAAUGGCAUGUAACAACAUGACUGAUAAAUUUUUGAACACGGCAUGUGUUGUGUAAAAUGAUUGACAAUUUUUUUUUGUUUUUAAAAUUUCAGUGGGGUUCCAAUUGUGCGACUUGUGAUAAGGCACGAUGGUCAGUGGGUGGAUGGCAUUUACAAGGGUGGUGAGUCACGAAUGCAGGGGGUUAGGAGUGAUUUGUCAUUUGCGGGCUUGAUAAAGCUGGUUGAAGAUGUUGUUGGGGUAAACUCAGAAUUUGACACGAUUGAGUUACAUGCAUUGAUCAGUACACCCUGAGAGCUAUCACGACCAAUUAUCAAGGACGAUGAGGAUGUUACAUUAAUUCUGCUAGAACAGAGGAAUGUUCCGGCUAUGUAUGUCAGCAUUAAGGGAUGCCAAACAAAUGUUAUGUCACAUGAAGAAGUUGAACAAUAUGGUAAUCAGCUCAAUCAAAAUGAGAUUUACAAUGCUUCACAUAUACCACAGCAUUCAGUCCGUAACCCAUAACAAUGGCAAUUGAGGUAUGCACAAGAGUUUGUGCAGCCCGGUAGACAGAUGACAUUCACAGAACAGUUGGCUGCAAAAUUCCGAUCAGGAUGUGUAUCAAACCAAUUACUUGCUUUUAUCCAACAAAUGCAACGAUCGGGUGAAACUGUAGAGUGUGUAAUGCCAUUGUCAAAUGAGAAUACAACACUUGAGGACAACAUUGUGAGAUUGGAGGGUGACACUGCGACUCUGGAGGAUAAUACUGCAUCUGAUGAGGGAAAUGAGGAUUUGUUCCCUGCUCGUGAAGAUAGAUUUGAUGACAAUUCAGAUGAUGGGCUUGAUAAAUGGCAUGAUGACAAUUCAGACGAUGACUGGCUUUAUGACAGUGACAUUCCAAUUUGCAAUAAUGUUGAAGGCGAAACAGAACUUGUUGGAGGUGUUGAUGUAGGAAAUGUUCAGUGUGAUGACCCCAUAUACAAUAACCCCAUCGCUGGUGAGAACGGGAUUCAUUCCUUUGAUACAUUGCUCGAUGACAAUUAUCAGGAAAGGGGAAAUGCAGGGAUAUCUCGUACGUGGCUAAUUACAGGUGGAAAAAGGUUCUCCUUCCAAACAAUUACCAUUGAGGAAUCGACAUGUGCCGAUGAUCGUUUAUACAAAGAAAGAAUGUUUUCCUUAAAGGCUGAGUUGAAACGAGCUUUGAACAUGUUGGUUCUAAAAGAGCAGUUUGAGAUAAGAGUAAAAAGGUCAUGUAAAGGUCGUUAUGAGGUUGGUUGUAACGACAAGGCAUGCAAGUUCAGUGUGCGUGCAAUGAAGUUACUUGACAGAGGAGAAUAUUGACAAGUUCGGAUGUUCCACAAAGUACACACAUGUAUUGUUGAUGGUUUGCAAGGGCGAUUUUCAACUGCGAGUGCGAAGAUAAUUGGUGAACUUAUGUCACACAAGCUUUGGGCUAAUGGAGUAGCAUUGAGACCUAAGGACAUAAUUUGUGAGAUGAGAGUUCAGUGAGGAUUGGAAUGCUUGUAUGAUAAGGCUUGGCAAGCGAAGGAGUAUGUAGAGAGGCUUGUUUUCGGUCCUCUAGAGGAGUCAUUUCAACUACUACCCUCGUAUUUUUAUAUGUUGGAACAAGAAAAUCCUGGCACAGUGACUGCAGUGGCUACUGAUGAGGCAAAAAGAUUCAAAUAUUGUUUCUAGUGAUACGGGGCUUGUAUUUAGGGGUUUAGGGAUGUAAUGCGUCCUACGGUUGCAAUUGAUGCGACAUAUCUGAAAGGCAGGUUUAAGGGUGUUCUGUUUGUUGUUGUAUGCAAAGAUGCGAACGAGUGCGUAUAUCUAGUUGCAUUUGGCAUCGGCCAUGUUGAGGAUGAAGACUCAUGGAUGUGGUUUCUUAGCAAGCUGCGUGAUGCGGUUUAUUGUCCUAAAAACACUAUGUUCAUUUCUAAUCAGCAUCUCGGCAUUAAGAAAGCAAUCCAAAAUGCAUACCCAGAAGCGCACCAUAGUUUAUGCGGCUACCACUUGAAAAAAAACUUUAAAAACAAGUUCAAGUGCGACGAUGUUUCUAUGAUUUUCACCCUUACUAGAAAUUACUAUAAAGUUUUCGAUUUCAACAGGCAUAUGAACCAACUCAAGCAGAUUUACGCGAGAGCCCACAUUGACUUUAUGAGAAUAAGGCCUAAGAGAUGGGCACGUGCAUGUUCACCGACAAGGUGAUACCAAAUGAUGACAUCCAACAUUGCGGAAUGUGUAAACUCAUGCUUGAAGCAUGCAAGAUAAAUGCCAAUCACUGUUUUGAUCGAGUUCAUUAGAGAAAUAUUCUAGCGUUGGUUCUAUGACCGGUACGAGGAGGCUGUCAAGGUGACCACCCCCCUCAGCCCUUGGCUUGCUUGGCAGUUGAGAAAACAGUUCAAUGAUGCACAUCGCUUUGUAGUUAAGCCUAUCAAUCGAGUGGAGUUCGAAGUUAAAGACGGGAAGAUGGACGGACUUGUAAACUUGUCCAGGAAGACGUGUUCAUGUUGUGAGUUCCAAAUAGAUUUACUGUCGGCACCAUCUCCAAGUCAAUUGGCACCUCCACGAGUGCGUCGACCGAAAGCAUGUUCAAGUUGCAGACAAACCGAUCACACACGCAACAACUGUCCAAUACGAAGGACAAUGUCUGAAAACGUAAGGUGUGUUGUGGAUGAAGACAGCUUGUUGGCCUAACUAAAUGUGUAACCCAUGCGCAAUACCUUUCUCAUAAUUUCCUCUUGCAGUAUCUUGCAUUCAUUCAUAUUUUUUAGUGUUUGUUAGUUUUUUCUUGUAGAUGAGUAUUUAUUUUUUAUUAAUUUUGUAGAUAUAUUAUUUGAGUAUUAAUUUCAUUUUUUUCGUAGUUUUGAACACUGAAUAGACUCGCGAAGUCCCUAUCCUGUUACCCCCUUUCUCACAUUUUAUUACCACUUGUAUUAAACAAUUAAUGAUUUGAUUUAAUUCCUUUCUAUUUCAUUUGAUUUAACCUUUUAUGUUCUUACAAUCAAAUCUCCUAAGAGAUAUAAAAUUAAAUUAAUUCAUCUAAAUUUAAUAGCUUUCUAAAUCCCAAUAUUCAAUUUUUUUUUGUAAUUUUUAAAUUACAACACUUAUUUUAUCCUUUAUCUUAUUAAUACCGCCAUAUAAAAUUUUAAGCCAAUCACUUAACAAAUUUAAAUUAAAAUAUAUUAUGCUAAGCUAAUAAAAGAAAUGCCAUGUGGCAGUUUUGAUCAUCUGGUGUGGGGGUUGAGAUUAGGCUGUAAUUGUUAGAUGUCAAUGACAUCUUGUGGUGACACGCUGAGUGAAAGCAAAUGCUUGUGGUGACACUGAGUGCAUGCAGACUUCUGACGUGACAGCUGACUUGUUACAGUAUUGUGGGGUGACACGGCACAUGCCAAUUGUGGUGACACGGUGAGUGCAUGCAAACUUCUGGCGUGACACACUGACUUGUUACAGUAUUAUGGGGUGACACGAAACGGGCCAAUUGUGGUGACAUGCUGAGUGCAUGCAGACUUCUGGCGUGACAUGUUGACUUGUUGCAGUUUUGUGGGGUGACACGUCAUGCCCCAAUUGUGGUGGCACGCUGAAUGCAUGCAGAUUUCUGGCGUGACACGUUGACUUGUUACAAUAUUGUGGGAUGACACGCCACGUGGUUGCAAUAUUAAUUUAAAAAUUGACAUCAGCUUCUGAUAUUUAUAGGCACUGUGUUUGAAUUGAUAAAGAAGAAGUAAUGGGAAAGUAAUGUAUAAAAUGUACGAAUAUUAAAAUUAAUAAAGUUAAUUGUAUAUACAAAAAAAUGAUGUACAUACAAGGGCCGAUAUGUUCAGGGUUUGUUCUCACAAUUGUUGGAAAAAAUUUUUAGAGCGUAUUGGCGAUGCAUAUUUGGAAUCAUAUUCUGCUUAACUCUGAUAUUUUUUAAUUGCAAAAUAUCGUCAAUAUACCCUAUCAUGAACAUAUCACAGCUGACAUUAUCGUUUUGUCGAUGCACGUUAGCUUUUGGCAAAUGGAUUUUCAAUGGCAUCGGCGUCAAAUCCCAUGUCUUUCGGUGUGUUUUGUUGAAAUAACUAGCUUGGUGGUAGAUGAUUGGCAUAAUUGUCAUAAAGGGUGUCAUCUGAGCCGCAUGCACUCCGUUAUCCUUAGCAUUCGAAGUUCUUGCAGAGUCCACCACCUUAAUCGUCCACCUCACCAAGUUGAUCUUCGCUACCACCCAAUGCCCGCCCACAUUGCAAGGUGCGAGGAUGAAAUUGACAUCUUCCCAUUUUUUGCCAUAUCUCGUCCUCUCACCUUCCAUGUACCCCACAACUCAUCUGAAAUUUCCAUCGUGGAUCGAGCAUCUUCAGUUGGAAAUACGGUGUGUAGUAGAUGGAUGGUGUCCUGUGAAGCAUGUAUACAGUAGCUUACACUUAAUGCAAUAAAAAACUUUGUAUUUUCAGAAUUGAAAAAUUUACAGAUAAACUUAUGAAAAAUAUCGUGUCAACCACGCAUGCAUGGGUAGUGUACAGUUUCAACUUCGGCCUUGUCAUCCACUUACAGAGUACGCUGAGGCAUGCGUCUAUAUGUUCACUACUCAUUUCUUCUUUGGGAUCCUCUAAUGUUGUGAAAAAUUUAGCACCUUGAUCCCUUAAGAUCCCGACGUUGUUCCUGCAUAUGUAACAGAAUGAAUUUCAAAAGCCUUGUGGAUUAAUGUUUCAUUAAAAAAUAAUAUUUACAAUGUUAUUUAUGAGCUUACCAUGAACAAUCGUCUUUCUUGAAAGCUUUAUAUGCUUCCACCAUUGCAUCUUUUAUAUCCCGACGGCUCACUGAGGGGUCGACGUACGGGUUUGACAUGUAUUUGCUUGCCAUUUUGACCCAUGCCCGUUCAGUUGGGUUUGAAAUUUAUGCUGCAUGAUGAUGGAUAUCAGACUCUGGUGACAACAAUCGUGUCUUGCUAACUUCAGAAGUGAUUUGAGGAAGAUGGUCCCCUUUAGCCUGAAGUGAUACAAGGUUCCCAUCCCUUCAUGUUGUUGCCUCGACUACUGCAUAGGCCUCAAGAAGAUGCUCUCCUUCAACCACGAGCUAGUGAAGGUCCCCCUCCCCUCUCGCAGAUGCAUCGAUAACCGAAUCAACCUCAGGAACGUGGACUAUUUCAGCCACGAGCAAGUGAAGGUCCCUUUCCCCUCCCAUAGAUGCAUCGAUAACCGAAUCAGCCUCAAGAACAUGGACUCUUUCAGCAUCAUCUGAUUGAAGGGUCACAUCCCCUGCCACAGCAUCAUAUCCGUCACGGCCAACAACAUCAUUGUGAAUGUGAACAGCAAGUUCAUCAUGUUGCCCAUCAUUAGCAUCAUCGUCGUGAGAUGAAGGACUGCUAUAUAAAAUGAGAUAAAUUGGAAAAUUCGUUAGCUCAUAAAAUACCACAAAUCAAAAACCAAGAAUAAAAAAUAGAACUACACAUAUUAAACAUAAAUGACUAAUAUAUGAGUGAAGAUAGAAUAUUGUACUUGUGAUUUUAGGCCUUUUAGAAUACGAGCAACGACACGGUCCUCAAACGUUUGCAUGGCUAGAGUCAAUGACUGAAUCGAAGCCUUCAGCUCUUACAUGUUUUGUUUUGUCGGUGCAUGAUUUGUCGCAGCUGACGCUUCGUGACUACUACGUCAUUGACUUUUGUCGAAUGGGUCAACUGCAAUAACAUAUAUUACUUUGUUAUUCAAUAAUCAUAUAUAGAAUUAUUGAACAUUAACUGUUAGAACUUUAAAAUCCAUACCAGUAGCUCGUUACCAUUGUGCGGUUGAGUAGGACAGAUCGGUGGUUGAGGAGCUGCCGUCGCCUCCCUCAACUGUAAUGAUAGAAAUUACUGUGUUACUCGAUAAACAUAUGCAAAAAUGUUGAACACAAAUCGUUACAACCGAUCUUACCGACGGCUUGUUACAAUUGCACGUUUGAGGAACACUUGUCGGUGGUUGAUAAGCUAUUAUCGCAUGGUCCAACUGUAAACAUAGAUAUGUUAUUCGAUAAUCACAUAUGAAAUUGUUGAACACAAACAGUUAGAACCAUCCUUACCGACUGUUCACUGUCAUUGCCAUGGUCGUCCCCUUCCUUUAUUAACUCAGAGCCAACAGCUCAUCCACUAAAGCAGCAGCGGUGCGCCUCUAUUUCAUGCCACCAGUGGCUCUAUUCUCUUUUAAUUUUCUCUUAUUUUCCUGAGCACCUAAGCCAUAGUCUGUCCGAUCCUCCAUGUGCCCUAUUAACACGUACUGGUGGUCUUCAUAUAACGGGACAUCAAUGUCCAUAAAAUACUUCUGACUGGCCUCAUCCGGGGUGGGCUCGAAGGUCUCCACUGUCCAUAACUAUAAAAUAGGGAUUGUGAUUAAAUUUUAGGAAAAAUUGUUAUACAAAUACACAGUAGAAAUUAGUAACUGUUCACUCACCUGCUCAGAUGACUCCAACUUCUCAACUGUUUUGUAGAAGUCUUUCGGCUUCUGAUUACAUUGCCAUUUGCACAUACGUGGGUAGACGUCCUUCGAAGCAGAGGGGGCAACUAUUUUUUGGAAGGUCAAAAUUACUUUCAUUGCCUAGAACUACAAGUCAAAUGUAACAUUAUUAGACCAUAAAUGAUAAACGAGUGCAACUAUAAAUUUUUAUGUCAAAAAGAAACAAAUAAAUGUUUAGUGAUAGUACUUGUAUCACCCACACGAAUUCGUAAAUAUUGUACCGUAAACGAGUAUCCUUCUGCGAGUUUGAGGCAAGCAUUUCGAACCCUUUUAAAAGGUAGUCCUCAGUCAUCCUCUAAACAUAGUGACUCAAUGGGAAGGCAUUCUAGGCGUCGAUGUCCUUCACCAAUGAUAAUAGCCAAGGCGUCACCCGUCUACGGUAGUCUUGACCAAAUAAAAUGUUAUUCGUGAUCAAGACAAGUGCCAUCUUGGUCGCGACACCUGGUCGUUGAAAGUUGCCUCCGUGAAAAGUAUCAAGCAACUCCUGCAGCUUAAUGCUCUGCUGCUUGUUUCAGUAUCUGGCAUGAAUUUCGCUCGCAACAACCUCGUAUGGUCAUCUGAACACAUUGGGCAUUGGACAAAACUUCAAUCCAGUGAUAAGGUAAAACUCUUACUUUAAUAUCCACUCCUUGCUCUUGCCAAUGGCAAACCAUAGCUCGUGCUUCAUUGCUUAUGUCUCAUUGAUUCGACGAAUCAUGAUGUUAUGUAAGAGACCGGUGCAGAAGUAGCCUUGUGGAUAUACGUCCAGCAGCAUUCUGAAACAUGUAUGCUUGACUGCAUCAUACUCCUCUUUCUCUUGGAGAGUCUUGUUGAUGUAAUGCAGUUGCGACCGCUUACAGUGGGUGUUGAUAACGACAUUGAACUCCCACUUCUUUGUCGGCACGAGAAGCAAACUAUCAAGAUCUUCAUAAUGACUGGACUGCACCAGCAAAACAUGGCACACAUGCACGAGUGAGUAAACCCAUAAUGUGGAAACAAGGUAUACUGAAGAAAGAAAUAAAUGUUGUUACACGCUAUGCAUAUCAAGAAAAAUGUUGUAACACGCUAUGCAUAUCAAGAAAAAUGUUGUAACACGCCAUGCAUAUCAAGUCAAAUGUUGUGACAUGCCAUGCAUAUCAGUGUCGUGACACGUCAAUCACUGUAAUUACUGACUCGUUACACCAACAGCUGUGACAUGCCAAAAACCAAAAAAACCAGUUAACCCACAACACACCAGGAACAGCUGUGACACGUUAAAAACUCAAAAAACCGGUUAACCCACAACACUCCAGGAACAGCCGUGACAUGUUAAAAACUCAAAAAACCAGUUAACCCACAACACGCCAAGAACAACCGUGACACGCUAAAAACCCAUAAAACUAGUUAACCCACAACAUGAUAGGAACAGUCGUGACAAGCUAAAAACCCAAAAAACUAGUUAACCCACAACACGCCAUAUGUAGACACGAACCCCUUUCAACACUUUGGUACGACCAUAAAACCAGGAAGAAAACAAUUUAAGCAAAGCAUAACAAUUGCAAAAAACACCAACAUAUCAAACCAACCCAACUAAAAAUCAACGAACAGAAGAAAGUUUUAAUUUUAGACUGACUGACCUCUUCACUGAUAACCAACAUUGUUGCUGUGAUGUAGCUAAGCUUGCCAAAAACGAAGUUGAACUCUCUACUACCUUUCGAAAUGAGGAAUGAAUGAAACUCUCUUACUUCCUUCACAUAGACAUUUGCGAUUUCAGAAAAAUAUUUAAUUAAAAUGAAAUGACCUUUUAUAUUCAUUUCAUUCAUUUAGUGGAGGUCCAAACGCUUUCCUCAUUACUUGCCCGCCUUCUUUCACAUCAUGGCGUGUCACAUGCUCAAGCCAUGUCGUGUCACACAUCUGAUUAUGGCGUGUCACACACUUUAAACUCUGUCGUGUCACAUCUGUCUCACAUAUUCUCACCGUGUCGUCUCAUACAUUAUCACCCUGGCGUGUCACAAAUUUCCUUCAUGGCGUGUCACACACUCUAAACCCUGCCGUGUCACACAUUAUCACCAUGCCAUUUCACAUAUUAUAACCCUGUCGGGUCACACGUCUAACCAUGGCGUGUCACACACUCUAAACCCUGCCGUGUCACACCCCUGUCACAUUCUCACCGUGCCAUCUCACACAUUAUCAUCCUGACGUGUCACAUAUUCCCCCCAUGGUGUGUCACACACUCUAAACCCUACCGUGUCACAUAUUCUCACUAUGAUGUGUCACAUAUUCCCACCAUGCCUUGUCAUAAACUCUAUAUCCUACCAUGUCACAACCGUGUCACAUAUUUUCACCAUGAUGUGUCACACAUUCCCACCAUGCCAUUUCACAAACUUUAAAUCCUGCCAUCACACAAACGUGUCACAUAUGGCCUGCUGUAGCACAACCAUUUCCUGCAUCUGAUUCACAUCUUUCUCGUUUCGAUUCACCACCGUAUCAGGGAUUUUUAGUUUCACAUCAUUCUUGAAGCUUUCGAUUCAUCACGACUGGUUCCUCGUUCGGUUUAAUAUCACAUUUCUAGUAUUAUCUGAAUGCCAUGUCCGAAAUAUCUGAAAAACCAUCUCACGCAACAUUAUUUUGUUUUGCACAAGCUUUUGAAGAAAAAAUUGGAUGUUUUGCACAAAAGUAGAUCUUUGAAAAUUCUUCGCAUAUUUAUUUUCUCAUUUUUCGCCUGUUUAAGAGUGCGCGUCACCGAAGAUGUCUCAUUAAGGAAAUUUUUUUUGUCCCAAAAUCUCUUCUGGUGGCUUAAAACAGUUAAAUUUAUCUGGAAGGUUAUUUUCAAAAACACUUUGUUUUUAAGGGCCAAAAAAAAUUUCCCAAAAAAAAAACUAUAAAGAAAAUCAAAAACUAAAAAUGCUACUUGAUUAACAGAGAUUGAAGAGUUUAUUGAACAUCACAUAACAUUUGACUAGUAAGGGGCACUCCAUUAUUGAGGAGCACUUCUAAUUAUUUGCCCUGCAUUAUAGCUGGUAGGGGAAGCUUGGCAUUGCAAAUCUGCUUUUGAAUCCUGUAAUUGAUUAGAAACAGUAGCUAUGGAAGUAAAAUCAAAUAAAGUAUUCCCAUUUUGGAAGCCUAUUGUAGAAACACUGUCUCUCAAAUUACUAGGAUGCAAAAUAGCUUGUUGAGAGCUUCCUUCUAACAUUACAAUGUUGCUUGUAACACCAAAAAGUGGAUUAUUGGAGCAUCUAGUCAUUCUUGCAUCUAUUAAAUUACUAGAAACAGGGAAAACUAUAGUAUUAACGAUAGUGGGCAGCUCUCCAAUAUGGAUAACACCCUUGUUAUUUUGUUGUUGAUCAAGUUUUAAUGACAUUGGCAUCCCUUGUAGUGUGUUAACAUUAUGGUUCCAAGAAUCAUGAAAGAUUACAACUUGUUCUUAUCAUUACUGGUAUUGCCCGAGUUUCGCACAUGACUUAAUUGAAUCAUUUCAAGAGAAAGAAGGCCAUGUGUACCUAACACAACAGGUGUAUUCAAUUUUCCAAGCACACCUCUAGGUGGGAAAGAUCUUAAGGUUGCAUUGUGAAGCUAAUUAGAUCUUGUCAAGGUAUGGAAAUUCCUAAGUCCAUUUUUAGGCCCCAUACACAAAUAGGUAGAAUCUACACUGCCUAAGGCUGUCGCCAUAUUUGCUUGUUGGUUUACCACACAGUUAAUUCUUUUCAAGUAAAACCUAUAUUUCUACAACCAUAAAAAUAAGACAGUUAACUACCUGAUAAGAUAAGAUCAUAGUAACUUUGGUAGGAAUGUUCAGAAUUAAUGCUUGGAGAUGGUUAGCAACAUUUUCUCUGAUAGUCUUUUCAUCAUUCAUUAAUUCUAGGAUCUUUUUAGGUACAGCCUCCACAUUAAAACCACGUGAACAGUUAACAUGGAAGCUUCAUGCAUAAGUAGAUUCAUGUAUGUAACAAAACAAUUUAAAGAAUAUGCAAAAGGACCGAGAAUUGAAUUUUCAGAAAUGGGAAUAUUAUGGAAUAUUUUUUCAACAAUAUGCUAAGAAACAACUAAACAAACAAAAGGUUUUGCAUGAGGAAAGUUAAAUUCCAUUUGUUAAAGCCAGAACUUUUUCCAGAAUAACAACUAAAACAAAAAGCCAAAGUGUUCAAAGUUUCAGAGUUAAAACAGAAACUAGAAGUGUUCAUCCCAAUUUUUCUUCUUCAACAGGACGUUCAAGCACAAAAAACAAUAAAUAAAAUUUAGAACAAUCAUUUUAAGCUAAUACUAGUAAUAGCCACUAGGUAGCUUGAUUGGGUUCUAUUUCAAAUCCAAAAUUCAAAUUUUAUUCUUUCUUAAAUUUCUCAAAUAGAAAAGAAAAACAAACUAAAAGGAGAAACAUAAUCAAUUGGUUUAUCCUUCCAAAUAAAUAGCAUUCAACACGUCAAAAAUAACAUAAAAUUUCCAUAUCUAAACUUUGACUUGUAAGUUAAGCCAUCAAAAUUCAUAGUCAAUUGGUUACCUCUGUUAUUGGAAACUGUCUUUUAGGCGGGUCAUCUUCUUUUAGGCAAAGAAUCCGGACAAUAUUUCUCGAAUUAGAGCUGUCAAUUUCCUCUUAUUGGAAAAGAACUCGUCGACCUUACCGUCAACAGUCAAGGAAUCCACCACAUCAAGAGCAUAAUCAUCCUCCAAAACGUCGUCACUCCUUGGCUUUACAACACUAUCAAAAAUCGAAGAUUGAACUUUUUUUUAUGAGAAAUCCCAAAAUAAGACUUGAACAAUUAAUAGAACAAACCCCCAAAGAAAAAAUAUUAAAAACCUUGAGAAUGAAGAAAGAAAAACUUACAAAAGAUGAAAGAUUAGUGUCAAAUAGAAAACGAAUAGCAAAGCCAAGGUAAAAGCGAAGUAGGUAGCCAAUAAGAAAGAAAACCUAGCAUGAGAUUUUUUUCUUUUUAUUUUUAAAGUGACAUUGGCAGUCGACCUCAAAAAUAUUGGCACUACCAUUUUUAUCAUCCUAUAGAAGAGAUCGGAUAGAUGGCAAAAAUAUAAAGAGGAGGCACGAAUAGGGGCAUAAUAAGGGGGUAGAGGAUUUGUGUUCACCAUGAAUAGUGGUGUAGACUUUCUACUGAGGAUUGCAAAUCUCAAUUUGAUCAUGUAAAUCUAUGUCAUUGAAAUAAUUGCAGUAAUGUUUCCUUCUUUUAACAUAAAAUAGUAAUUUAGAUGAAUAAUAAAUACAUGUAUUUUUAUUUAAAAUUUAAAUUUAAAUUUGUUUUCAAUUUUAAAUAAUUAAGUCUCAAUUUUUUCCUAUUUUAAAUAAAAAAUCAUGAAAUAGGAAAAAAUUGAGACUUAAUUAAUAUUAAUUUCCUAAACUUUAAGGCGUUAUCGAUAAAUCAUUGAAUAUAAAAUUUUUUAAUAAUUUUUUUAAUUUGUUUGAUAAUUUAUUUUUUGAAACCACUCAAUGAAAUAUUUUCAAUAAAAAUGUGUUGAAAAUCUUAAACAGCUUUUAACUACUUAAUCUAUUAAAUAGUGUUGUUUAAGGAAUGAUAUGUUAUUUAAUUACAUUAAUUUUAUAUUCUUUCUUUUUUAACUUUUCCAAUGCAAAUGUUUAUAAAAUCAUAUUCCCUUUUACAAAGUAUUUAAUAGAAAAUCUACUCAACACUUAAUUUUCAAUAAUAUACCAAACAAUUUUUAUAUCAUAACUUUAGUGGUUAAAUUAUCAGUGCUAAAAUUUUUUAGUUUAUCAAAUAGUACCUUAGUGAAAUAUAUGUCUAUCUGUCUAGUUACAUAUAGACCAAGCAAUUCCAGAUACGAUUCACUAACACAACACAAACAUGAUACUGAAUUAAACAUAUUUGACUUUAGUAAGAUCGUAUUCUUGUCAUGAUUGUGUCAACUCAUUUAUGACCAUGAAAAUAUUCAAGUUCUAUGUGGGUUGACAUAUCUAACUUGUAUAUAUAUGACAUGUUUAUACAUAUUUUAUUAAUUACAUUAAUAGGUUAAUCGACAUUACUUAAUAUAUUUAGCUCAUUUAUUAAUAUUAAAAAGACAUAAAAUAACUUAUCAAUUAUGUUUAAAUAAGUUAAUCUUAUUUUAACGUGUUAAUCAUGUUAUAUUGUGUAAUUAAUCAAAAAAAAUACUAAACGUGUAAUAAAUAAGAUUAACGUGUAAUAAACGUGUCAUAUUCAUGUCAAAUGUAUGAUUAAUUAAUUGCAUCGUGUUCAUGUCAAUUUAUUUAUUUGUUAUACCUUUAUGCAAGUGGUACAUGUAUCAACCCUAAUUCAUGCGAGCUCAGACUUUAAUUUAGACUUGGGGUUAUGCCACUUAAGGCAAGAUUGGAGUCAUUACCCAAUUUUUACGAGUAACCAAGAACCAGAUAUAUAGGCUUCAAGACAAUAAGUUUUAUCAUUACCAAAGAAUUUGGUAUGAAGAUUUUAGUAUUAAUUAAAGAAGUAAUCAAAGUUUCUAAGCCCUCUUGGGGUAACACAACCUUAAUUUAUUAUUUCACUUUGGAUUAACCCAGUCAAGAUUUUCAAGUCAAAUAGACACCUCACCUUUACUUAAAAAACCAUGCAAUUCAUAAAUAAUUAAAUGUCUCAUGCUAUCACUUAUGUAUCUAAAAAGAUACAAGUGGACUAGUAACCUUAAGUGGUUUGUCAACCAUUAAAUGUUGCAAACAAUUAUAUAACUAUUUAACAUAAAACAUCGAAAUUAGAUAAAGGAAGGCUAGGCUAGGUAAAGGCAAAACAAAAAAUUUUAGUGCUUUUUUGAAAGAAAGUGAGAGAACACUAGAGGAAAGGAAAAGACUUCUGAAUUCUAAGUUAUGAUAAAAUAAAGAAAGAAUGGGUAUUUAUAGUUGGGAGCUAAGUGGAAUGAAUGAUUGAGAUUCAGUGAGAUGAACUAUCCAUUUUAGAGGAUAAAUUUGACAAUUAUCUCUAAAUAAUGAUAAUUAGCUAUGUUUAUUACUUUGGAGAUAACUAUAAAGGUAAGAAGAAAACGAAAAAACAUGUUUCUGAAUAAUUAAGUCAAAAAGUAUGAGCAAAUCCAAUCUUAUCUAUUAAAAGCAUAUUGUCAAUCUACAAUAUUGAGUGUUUGACAAUAUUUUUUCUAUUUAUCUCAAUAAUAUUUCUCAUUUUAUUAUUAUUCUACAAAUCUAAAUUAUGUUUUUAAUUAUCCAAAAUUCAAGGUAUAAAAUUGAUGCUAACAAUUUGGCCCCCCUUGAUCGAGCACGGUACAAGUGAAAAUCAAUGUUUGUAAAGCAAAUUUUGCAACUUGACGAGCAUAAAACUCUGAAGUGCAGGUCAUGCUCGAUGAUGACUUGCCUCCAUACUCUGAAGAGUUUAAACCUAUCAUAGCUCAAAAUCAUGGGUUUUAUAAAAUGAUUUUACUUUAGGUGGUUGAAGAAAACUUUAGGGCUACUAAAGAAAAAUGGAAGCUUGGGAUUAAUGUCAGACCAAAUCUAAGAUUAUUGAAUUUGGAUUUAAUAUUGCAUUUUUGAGCUUUCGAAAAAAAAUUCUAAAGUUGCCUAAAAAAAAUGGGGAUUAUUAUGAAUAAAACUUUACUUUAGGAUUGCCGAAUAAGAACUCUAGGGUUGUCAAGAAAAGACUUUGCUUCAAGGUUGUCGAAUAAAAACUCUACGAUUGCCAGAGAAAGUCCAAAGGUUGUUAGGUAAAUUUAGUGAAGAUGAUUUUCGAUUCAAAUUAUUGAAAAGGAUUAUGGGGUUUCAAAAAAUGAAAAACUUGAGGUUGCUAGGAAAAUAUGCAGUGCAAAUUUAAUGCAAAAUUAUUGAAAUGAACUCUAAGUUGCAAAGAGAAUAUUGUCUUGAAACUUGAUUUUGAAAAAACCUUCAACUAUGUUGAUUGGUGCUUCCUUAUUAAGGUCAUAAAGGCAAUGGGCUUUGGUUCUAAAUGACAAAGCUGGAUUUAUGAAUGCAUAUUGACUGUGAAGGUUUUAGUCUUGGUGAAUGGAUAGACCACAUUUGAGUUCCCCAUGAUGAAAAGAUUACGAUAAAGUGAUCUUCUGUCACCUUUUCUUUUUAUUAUGGCUAUCGAGGCCCUUCAUAUUCUCCUUUCUAAGCCAGAAUCUCUCCAUCUCUUUUGAGGCAUCAGACUUACAUCUUUUGGUAUGAUCAUAUCUCAUCUUUAGUUCGCAAAUGACAUGGUUAUCUUCUUAAAGCUGGACUUCUAGGGUGCUUUUAUUGUUCACAAGAUACUACAUUAUUUUGAGCUAGUUUCUGGGUUGAAAAUUGAUUUAAGUAAAUCUUGUAUCUACCCUAUGGGUAUCGAGGAUGCGGUGGGUACCAAAAUGGUGCUUAUUUUGUAGUGUAACGUGGGAAUAUUACCGUUCAUGUAUCUUGGUGCUCUUCUUGGUGCCAAUCUUAGGAGCUUUAGCACAUGGGAUCUUGUGGUUAAUAAAUUCAAUCAACGUUUUACGUUUUGGCAUAGGGCAUAUAUGUCAUUCAGAGGUGGGUUAGCUCUUAUUGACUUUAUGCUUAAUUCGCUUCUUCUUUACUACUUAUCUAUUUUCCAAGCCCUAAAGGGUGUUCUUCAUAAGCUAAAACAGUUGAAAAAAUUUUUUUACAAGGGGUAACCCUGGCAAGUGUAAAAUUUCAAAAGUUAAAUGGAGAAUAUUAUGCAAACUAAAUGGAUAUGGUAGGCUAGGAAUCUUUAGCCUUAGCCACAAAAAAUGGCACUUCUUACAAAAAGGUGGUAGUGUUAUGGUACUGAAAAUAACGCUCUUUAGAGAUGCUUGAAGGCAGAAAAAUAUGGCAAAGGUUAGUCCAGUUAGCUCCCUUUUAUGGCAUGACCCUUUAGAAUGUCAUUGGUUUGGCAAAGCACUAUCAACAUACCUUCUAGUGAGGGAGUUGAAGAGCUUUUUGGUUUUCAUGCUUGUCAUUGGAUCAUAGGUAAUGGUGCCUUUGUCUUCUUUUGGCUUGAUUAAUGGAUCCUUGAGAAUGAGAUACUAUGCUCCAAAUUUCCCAAACUUUUCUCACUAAUAACUAAUAGGAGGCACGGUGCUUGACAUUUAGCACAACGACAACUAGUCUAUCUCUUUCUUAUGUAACUUUUACUCAUGGGAGACUAGCUUUUACAAUGAGCUUUGUGCUUUGUUGAGGCACAUUGUACUUGUACCUAGCAAGGCAAACAAACUCAUAUAAGAGUACGAUCCCAGAGGUAACAUUUUGGUCAAAAUUUUUUACUUUUUAUUUGAUGCUGAUCCUAGUAAUUAAACUUUAUGACUACACUCCAUGUAAAAAUUAUCUAUCCCACCAAAACUACAAGGUUUUUUAUGGCUUGCUUCUUUUGACUUGAACCCCUCAAAAUCCUUCUUUCAUUUGAGGGGAAUUGAAUUUAGCUUUGAGUAAUUGCAUUGCACUUGGUGUGAUUUUGAGUUAGAGAUGUGCUCCCAUAUUUUUCUCACAUGCUACUUCAGUUAGAUGGUAUGAGGUCUUAUUCUUCAAUGGUGGGGUAUGUCAUGGUCUUCCCCUACAAUAGUACCGUUUCUUUUUGCAAUCUUGAGCUGAUUAUGUUUUUGUGGGUGACACGUGCAAGCAUUGGAUGGUAGUUUGUGGCGUUACGUUUUGAUCUUUUUGGUUGGCUUGCAAUGAGUCGGUAUUUAACAGUAAAGUAUGGGAUGGUUUUGAAAUCUUUUUUUUUAUUAAAAUGUAAUCCAUGUUCUAGAUACGUGCAUGUGAUGGAAAUGAUGUGAUCGAUGAUAUUGGCUGGUGGGUCGAACCACGGAACACAUCCAUCAAACAAUCUCCUCUACACUCAUAACUAGGAGUCUUUUAAAAGGCUUCAUUGGAUGGUGAGUAUAAAUUUAAUGUUGAUGGUGCAACAAGGGGCAAACUAGAUCCAAUAGGAUGUGGAGGGGUUCUUCACAACUCGGAGGUUUAUGUGGCUAGUGUCUUCUUUGAGCCAUUUGGCAUUCAAGACUCCAACUUUUCAAAGCUCAUGGCUAUUCUUAAUGUGUUGCGCCUUUUCUCUUGCUCUUUGUUUGUAGGUUCAAAGUUGAUUGUAGAGUUCGGCUCUAGGAUGGCUCUAUCUUGGGAGUCCAUGAUAAUUCUAUUUUAUAGAAUUAUUUUAUUUCAAUUUUGUUAUUAAAUAUUAGCUAAGUCAUCAAUUUUUAAUUAUAAUUUAUUUAUUUUUAGUUUUUUUAUUUAAUUAGUUUAUUUUUAACUGAGUUAUUUUAAUUUUAUAUUAUUCUUUUUAAUUUGGUUAUUAUUUAUUAGUUUUUAUAUAUUUUUUUUUGUAGGAACUAAAAGAAAUUGGGCUUAAUUUUGGAAAGUGAGAUGUUGAGAGACCCGAAAGUCUGCUUGCAUAUGCUUUAGUGUUUUAGCCAUAACUCAAGGUACAGAACUUCAAAUGAUACGAUUCUUAGACCAUUGGAAAGCUAAGAGACAGAGCUACAAUUUUCAUUUUGCUUCGAAGAUAAAGAGAAUCGUGUUGGAAAAUGACUGGACGUAUGGUUUUGGGAAUGAAAAUUUGUAAAGAUUUACAGUUGAUUUUUGGGUCUCUCAUUACACUUUUAAAUCCAAUUAAACCCUAGGUCGACUUAAGGAACUUUAGGUUAAGUUUAUUAGUACAAAUAGGAUAUGUUUAACAACAUUAGAGAGAUAACUUUUUGGAGAUUCAAGAAGCUAGGAGUUGAGGCUGAAACUUGGAGAUCAAAGCGGCAAAUAUUGUUUUUGUUUUCUUCCUUGGCUUUUAUUAUUCUUGUUAUUCUCAAUGGUUGAAUUUAUUACAAUGUUAUUUGUUUUUGCAAUUAUGAGUAGCUAAUUUUCUUUUUUUAGGAUUACAAUUGAACUCACAUGUAAUCUAAAUUUUUAAUCUCUUUCUUUCUUAUUUUUAAUGGAAUUGAAUUGUUUAUUCCAAUUUAUUCUUAAUGUUUUUAAUUGCUUGGCCACCAAUUAAAUUGAUUUAGGAACCUAAGCCAACUUGGGAAAAUGAGUUUAGUGUAGACUAAAAUUGGGAUAACAUAUUAUCAUAGUUAUUGAUUUACGUAUAAGAUAUGGAUAUACCUAUAGGCUAUAUGUAGCCAGAUUAGAGCCUGGACUUAAUGAGUCUGUUUUAAUUUCAAUUCACAUAGGGAUAUAAUGUUUUGGUUAAAAUAGAUAUUUUUAUAAGAUAAGUCAGAAGACAUUUAUAAAUAAUUUAGGACUCUAGGUUGGCAAUUCAACCUAUUGAAAUAAGUUAAGAAAGAGAGGUAAGAUUUAGAUGAAGUGUGAGGGAUAUUGUAAUCCUAGGCUUGUUUGAUUUGAUAUUUACUCAAGUUAUUAUUAUUGUGAUUUUUCUUGUUGAUUUAAAUUUUAGUUAAUUAGUUUUAAGUAAUCAAUUAAUUUUGAGUGUUUGGAUAAGAUUAAAUUGUUCUAAAUUUAGUACUUAGUAAAAUUUUAAAUCAAUUCUCUGUGGGAUCGAUACUCUGCUUGCUUAUAUACAAUCUAUUCAAUACGUAUACUUGCACAGUAGAAUUUUAACUGACAGUCCAACAUUGAUAUAAGGAUAAAUGGAACCUAUUUAAUAAAAUUGAUGCUCUUUCACUUUCCUUAGGCAUGGUGUCCUUUACACAUACUUUACAAGAAGGUAACUCAUUCGCAAAUUCUCUUGCAAAAUUUGGACUUGAAAGAAACUUGAUGUUUUCUGCAUGGUUGUAACCUUUACUCACCCUUUUGAUAUUGUUUUAGAGCUAUUGCCUUAUGGUUAAUGUUCUUACUAUUUUGCUUUAUUUUUGGCAUCAUCUUAUGGUACUAAGUGCCAAUAGGUAAUCUUUGAUUAAUGGUACUGAGUACCGCUAGGCUUGCUCAUUGAGCUACUACACCCUUUUAAUUUUUUUUUAUUUUUUAUGUUUUUAUUUUGUUUAAUAUUUCAAGUUACAUAUUUUAAGUUAGAAUUUCUUGAAUUAAAAUAUGCAUUUAUGGCUGAUAGAGUUAAAUAUAAUUGUAAAUGUUUGUAUCAUUUUAUUUAUAUUUACGAAUUUUCUGUAGAUCCAAAUUAAUAAUUUAAAUGUAAGGUAGAAUUUGAUUGUGGUUUUUGAGCUUAAAUAAAAUUGUUUUAUAAGAAAUAAAAGAUAAAUUGGGUAAAUGUUGAAUAAUUCCAAAAGAAUGGGUAUUUGUAAAUUGUGAAAGUUGUAAUUAAAUUAACUUAUUUUGUCAAUUGUGUUCAACUCAAGUUAAAAACUAAGUCAAAUUAAAAUAUAAAUUUUAAGUCAAAUUAGAAUAUAAAUUUCAAAUUUUUAUACAAUUAUAACUAAAAGAAAAAAGAAUUUAUUUAGUCUUUUUAUACUAUUUUAUUCCAAUAUAAUUCAAGUUAUUCAUCCAAAUCAAGCUUUAGGUAUAAAUUUUUUUUUGAAAUAUUACAAAUUUUUUUAUGGAAGGAUAAUUCAAAUUUAAUUUUUGUAAAGAAGAUAAAUUGACGUGCCUAUUCUGAAAUCAAAUAUUUAAAUAAGAAAAUAUUUAUAAAUAUUUUUUUAGCACCAUAAAUGUUUUACACUUAAACAUCAUUUGGCUUAUUAAUAAGUAUAUAUAUUAUCUACUAAAAAAUUUAUAUUUUUCAAAUAUUUGUUUCAAUUUAAUCUCUAAACACUUCAAUUUUAUUCAAUUUAAUCUUUUAGUAUACAGUUUUGUUGAAUUUAAUUUAUAUGACAUGACACAUAUUUUUUUAAAAUUUUUUUUGAUUUGUUACGUGGCAUUAACUCAUCAACAUAUCAAUGUCACGUUAUUAUGUCAAUGCCACAUGGCACUACCACGUCAUCACAAUAAUGCUACGUGACAUUUCCACAUUAUCAUGAUUGUGCCACAUCACCAAAAUGUGCCAUAUUAACAUGACGUAUGUGAUGAUGUCAUCACUUUUAACUUUUAGAUUCAAUAUUGUUUAAAGAGGAAAUUAAGUUGAUGAGAGAAAUUUUAAGUUUUUUAAAGUUUUAAAUUUAUGUCUUAGUGAGUUAAUAUGUAUAAAAACUAUAGCGGAAUUAAAACUUGAACAUCUAUAUCUAUCCCGACAGAAGUGGGGCAGGACCAUGGUGCUUGGCUCUUGAUCAGAUAUAUUUGUGGUUGCGGAACACAAAUCGCUACAUGUUGGUGGAACAUAAGUGGCGCUGCUUUCAGUUUCAAAAUAUAAUUGUACCCUCGCCCAGCUGACAGAAACUUGGCAACUUUUGGCUUUGUCGUGGCUUUAAUUAGAAGUAACCCAAUAUUUCAUUGGCAGAUAAACACAGAGCCAACAACUCCCACUGAGUAGUGAAUGCUCUACCUAGGAAACUAAAUUCUAUCCCUUCAUUUCACGAGAAAAAUAAGAAAAUUCAUUGAUGUGUAACCCAAGUUCAACCCUCUCCUGCCCCCAAGUCAUUGUGUUUUGUGCUUUUCCAGGAGUUAUAACCUCUUUUGGCUCCUCUACCUCUUCAAACAAACACAAGUAGUCAUAGCUGAAGACUGAAGAGACAAUCAAGCAAAGAAAGCAAAAAAAAUGCAAGAGACGAUCGUGCUCUACCCAUCGCCAGGCUUGGGCCAUGUGGUGUCAAUGGUGGAGCUAGGCAAACUCAUCCUACAACAGCGAAACCACCAAUUUUCCAUCACCAUCCUCCUUACUACUGGUUUUUGGGACACCCCAAGCAUCAUCUCCUACAUCAAUUCUGUCUCCCAAGCCUACCCAUCCAUCUCCUUUCGCCGCUUCCCAUCCAUCUCCGUCUCCAUGGACCAAAAAUGCAGCGGUGCUGCGAUUUAUUUCCAGUUCGUCCGCCUCCAUGCGCCCAACGCACUCCUUUCUCUUCAGGAAAUCUCAAAAGAUCACAAGAUCUCUGCUUUUGUCAUAGAUCUUUUCUGCACUUCUAGUCUAUCCAUGGGAAAAGAUCUCAAAAUCCCCACUUUUUACUUCUAUGCCUCUGGUGCUUCUUCCCUUGCUGCCUUCCUUCAAUUCUCGAAACUUGAUGAACAAACCACUGAGAGCUUCAGAGAUCUCCCUGACACAGUCUUUCAUUUCCACGGCCUGCCACCGUUGAAAGCCAUACACAUGCCAGACCCCACACUUGAUAGAGAAGAUCCUGCUUAUCGGGACUUUAUAUACUUCUGUUCAGGCCUCGCACAAUCAGAUGGAAUUAUAGUUAACACAUUUGAAGAGCUCGAACCGAUUUCCAUCAAGGCUAUUGCUGAUGGGUUAUGCCUCGUUGAUGCUCCAACUCCACCAACUUACUACAUCGGACCAUUGAUUGCAGCAGGUAGUAAAGCUGAACACGAGUGUUUAUCGUGGCUGGAGAAGCAACCGUGUAAAAGCGUUGUGUUCUUGUGCUUUGGGAGCCGUGGGUCGUUCUCUCGGGUCCAAAUUAUGGAAAUAGCAAAAGGUUUGGAAAGGAGUGGGCAAAGGUUCUUGUGGGUGGUAAAAAAUCCACCUCGCGACGAAAAGGCAAAGCAAACUGACGAAAGCCCCAAUGUGGAUCUAGACUCUCUUUUGCCAGAGGGUUUUAUGGAGAGAACCAAAGAUAGGGGUCUGGUUGUGAAGUCAUUUGCGCCACAAGUAGCAGUGCUGAACAAGGACUCGGUUGGUGGCUUUGUGACUCAUUGUGGGUGGAACUCCAUCUUAGAAGCAGCGGUCGCGGGGGUGCCUAUGAUUGCAUGGCCUUUAUAUGCAGAGCAACACUUGAAUCGGAACAUUUUGGUUCAGGAUAUGAAGAUGGCUAUCCCUGUGGAGCAAAGACAGGAAGAUGGGUUCGUGAGUGGAACUGAGUUGGAGAAGCGAGUCACGGAGUUGAUGGAUUCCGACAUUGGCAUGGAGCUUAGAGAAAGGAGUUGGAAGAUGAGAGAGAAGGCCUUGGCUGCCUGGGGUCCUUCAGGGUCUUCCACUAAAGCACUAACCAAGUUGAUUGACUUGUGGAAGCGAGGUUGAGAAUCAACUGUUUUGUUUUGUCCUGUUCGCAUGGUAUCUAUGGUGGAUCACAAAUCCUCUGCCCGUAUUGUGCCCCAGCCGUGUCUCCUCUCUAUAUUUUUGCCAUCUGUUUUAUUUCUUUGGCAGUUAAUAUCAACUAAAAAAAAAGAAAAAAAAUCUCAUGUUAGGUUUUUUUACUGUUGACUGUCUACCUCGCUUUGACCUUGUUUUUGGCUGCCUACAUCUCUUUUGCCUUGACUUUUCUAUUUGGCAGGAUGCUUUCAACUUUUGUAAGUUUUUUUUUUAAUUUAUUAAAUUUUAAUUUUAUAUGUAUUAAUUCAUUACAUGAUGUUUUUUUGGAUUUUUUUGAGAGAAGCUAUAUAUGAAUUUUUUUUAAUAGUAAUAAGGUUUCAUUAAACCAUGGGUGUAAAAACACUCACUACCUUGAGAGCAAGUCCCAAAAUACAAAAAUCUCAAGAUGAUAGAAGUUUGAUUGGUGUAUCCACUUGUUUGCAAUAUACCCAAACCAAAACUCGAAGUCCCUUUCAUGGCUACAAGCCAUCCUAUAAAAAAAAAAGAAACGAAACUCCCAGAACCAGAAAGGGGAAGAACAAGAAAUAGCAACACUGAACUCAGAACAACCCCUGUACACAAAAAGUAACAAAAGAGCCUCCCCUUAACAUAGUAAAUCAUCUCAAAACCAAAAAAGUUGAAGAAAAGAUUCCCAACCCAAGAACACUGCUAACAAGCAAUGAAAAGGAGGGAGGAAAGCACAAUCAGAAAAGAUUGCCACAACCAUACUUCAUAAAAAAAAACCCCUUUAAGCUGCAUGUCCCCUAAAUUUUAGAACACACAAAAAGUACUCUGACCAAGACUCAUUGCAUUUUUGGCGAGAGUGUUGGCCUCCCGAUUGGUUUCUCGCGGAACAUGUUUUAUUUCCCACGGCCCCAACUGUUCUUUAAUUCUUUUAAUAAGAAUCACCCAUUUGCGCAACCUCCAUGGCACUUGAGAACCAUUAUUUACCCGAUUAACAACAUUACUAGCAUCACUUUCAAUAAUCAGAAGAUGGCUUUCUUUCCAUUUUGAAGUAAAGAAGAUCAAGAUAACUUCCUUCACAGCCAUGAUUUCAACUUGGGAAGAGUCAUCCAUGCCUAUCAGUUUGGAAAAGUUGAUCUUAACCUCCCCAGACUCAUUCCUCAUAAUUCCACCUAUACCUGUUGGUCCGAGACAACCUUUUGCCAAGCCAUCGAUAUUAAAUUUCAUAAACCCCUGUUUUGGAGUAAUCCAGUUUGUUCUCUUUUUUACUUGUUUAUGUUUCUUCUUCCCGUAACUACCUGUCAAGGGAUAAAAAAAAAAUCCGAAAUUGACCCAUAAUCCAUUGGCCAUUUUGAGUUUGCCCAUGAUGCGAUUCUAAACUUCACAAUCUCCCAGCAUUGCUUUUCAUCCCAUUUCUUUCCUUCAAAAACCACCUUGUUCCUGCUUUUCCAAAUUGUCCAAACGAUGGCGUAAUAAGCGAGUUUCCACAACCUGCAAUCAUAAUUACUAGUAACACAAUCAUUCUAAGAUACAAAAAAAGCUUUAACAGUCCCUGGGGCAACCCACCUGAUAUUGAACAGAUUACACCACGUUCCUUAUAUCUUCCAAGUUUCACCACAUCUGAUAAAAAGGUGACAGCAUGUCUCUUUUUCAUGCUUGCACAAAACACACAAAUCAAAAGCAUCAUGGAGUAUCCCUUUGGCCGCUAAUUCAGCUUUGUCACCAAUUUUCUCAUAUAGAAGUUGCCAAACGAAAGCUUUCGUUCUAUGUGGAGCCGUGCUGGACCAAACCUCUUUCCAUAUCUUGCUCUUUUCAUUGUCAAUAUUUAGUAACAUUCUACAAAAUAAUUUGGUUGUAUUCUUACCACUGGUUUCAAAUUUUCAUAUCAAAGCAUCCUUCAUUUCCUUACUAUGUUGAACCUCUUCCAAGGUGUCCCCUAAAGCGUACCAUUGGCUCUUCUCCCAAGCAAAUAAACUUUUUCGCAAAAGGAUGUUGUCAAGCCCAACUCUACAAUAUGUUUAUUAUGCCAUUUUUACAUAAGAAUGCAUGUUUGCUUCCUUGGGUACCUUGAAAAUCGUUAAAGGACGGUAUUGUAUCAAAUGGUACAAUUAAGUUGAAUUAAGCCUCGAACUAGUCCAAAUGGAGAUUUUAAGAUGAAAUUGAGAAUUUUAAAACUCCAGAAUGACUUAAAAUGGUGAUUCGAAGUUCGAGGACCGAUUUGGAGUCAAAUUGGAAUUUUUAUGAUCUAGGGGCAAAAUGGUCAUUUUGCCACCCGAGGUUAAAAUUGAAAUGUUUGAAGAAUUUUUUAUCAAGAUUGACUAUUUAGAACAUAAUUUGAGUUUGAGAAGUGAAAAAUUUUAAUUCUGGCAUUUUUUCGAGCAUAGGGGUAAAAUAGUCAUUUUGCCACCCAAGGGCAAAAUUGUAAUUUUUCACCACCCAACACUUGUUCAGCACAUGGAUUUUACCCAAUAUUAUCAUGGAUAAUUGAGAAAUUUUAAGUGGUGGAGAGAGAUUGCUUAAUGGCUAAGUAUGACACAUUGACCAAAGGAAUGGUGACAUGCGUCAAAUUUAUAUCCAUUUAUUAUUUAGCUUAAAAAUUAGCACAAAAUCAGCCUAUUUCUCAUUCAUAUGGCCGGCCAAAGAAGAACAAAGGAAGAAAAGAAAGAACAAGAACCCUAGGGUGAAAAUUCAAGAGAAAAAUUGGUGGAUUUCAAGUAAUCAAGCAAUCAAAGGUAAAAUUUCUUGAUUUUGACUUGUGAUCUACCUUUUCUAUGCAUUAUUUUGCAUUUUCCAUGGUUGAAUCACAAGAUAUCAUGAAGGAUUUAUGGCUGACCGAAUUUAGAGAGAGAAGAUUUGAUAGUUGUUUUGGUUAGAUUUUAAGAUAUUCAAGUGUUUUUAGUUAGUUGGUGAUGUGUAGCAUGAAAAUCAAAUAAGAAAAAUUCAUUUUCUCCCAUAACCCAUCAUUGGCCAAAUUUUCCAUGUAGAGUGUGGAUGAUGAUUUUGAUUUUAUUUCAAGUGGAUUGGUUAGGAAAUGAUGAAUUAUGGUGAGAAAAUCAAGUAGGAAAAAUCAUAGUAUUGAUGCACCCAACAUGGCCGAAUUUUUCAAGAGAAAAUGUGAAGAUGAUUUUGCUAGAUUUUAUGCUAUUUGACUUGUGUUUGAUGAUUUAGAGUAUUGGGAGAAAAAUGGAAUUAUUUGGAGUUAAAUUGGACAUAUUGGCCAAUUAAUCGGGUGAUAUAUCGAAUUAGGCCAAUACCAUUUUAUUUAGGUACACAAUUGAAUUUGUGUAGAGUACCUUGUUUGGACGAUAAUCCGAACAAUUUGCAUCCCAUUUCAUGCAUUAGUAAAGAACCUGAAAUAGAUUUAUAAUGGUAUGACACAGUAUAUUGAAUUAUGUGUCGUGUAUUGUGUAUAGGUGGUGAGCCCUCUAAUAAGGGUAAAGACGUUGUGUCAGAGGAUUGAGAAUAGGAGUAUUUCAAACUCUUGAUACUGUGAGUAACCUUACUAUCGUCUUAAUUAUCUAAAAUGGUUUUAUCCGAUUUUGUGAUUUUAUGGAAAAUGAGUUAAAUGGUAAAUCUUUGUGUUUUGUAAUUAAAAUGUGAUUUAAUGAAAUGAUUUUAUAACAUUGUCUUGAAAUNNNNNNNNNNNNNNNNNNNNNNNNNNNNNNNNNNNNNNNNNNNNNNNNNNNNNNNNNNNNNNNNNNNNNNNNNNNNNNNNNNNNNNNNNNNNNNNNNNNNNNNNNNNNNNNNNNNNNNNNNNNNNNNNNNNNNNNNNNNNNNNNNNNNNNNNNNNNNNNNNNNNNNNNNNNNNNNNNNNNNNNNNNNNNNNNNNNNNNNNNNNNNNNNNNNNNNNNNNNNNNNNNNNNNNNNNNNNNNNNNNNNNNNNNNNNNNNNNNNNNNNNNNNNNNNNNNNNNNNNNNNNNNNNNNNNNNNNNNNNNNNNNNNNNNNNNNNNNNACUCCUGAGGUUAACACUUUCGAGUUCACUUCAUGCAAAAUCACCACGUGAGGGUGAACUCGGCCAAUGCCAAGGAACGACUAUGUUUUCAAAAUAAAAACAUGAUUUAUAUGUAUAUAAUUUUUUAACAGCCUUGGCGGACUUAGUUAGGAUAGCCAUCGGCCAAGGUAUCCUUAAUAACUGAGUAUGAUAAUGAUUUUUGGCACGAGCCAAGCUUUUCAGAAAAUCAUAAGCCUCAAUGAUUAUUUGGAUGAAAUAAAUUUAUUUUAUCUCAUAAAAAUGAGUUUGAAAUGCUAUGAAUUAUUUUAUGCUAAUCUAUUUUAUCUGUCUCCAUUUACUUAGCUUUAGAUAUUUUAGAUGGUAUUUGUUUACUCACUGGGAUUAUAUAAUCUCACCACCCUCCUUUCCACCCCUUUCAGGCUCAGGAUAGUCGGUAGAUAGCUCACUUUGUUGAGGGCUACAGUGGGACUUGCAUACUCAAAAAUUGUACGUUUACUACUUUUAUUACUUUUGAUCGUUCGUGGGCCCACGUGUCACUAUAAAUUAAAUUUUAUACCUUGGUUAUCUGUAUUAUAGUAUGUAUGAAUUUAUUUAGCUUUUACGCUACAAAAAUUAUUUACCAAUAACUCUAUAAAUAUUAUUUUAUAAGAAAAUAGAAUAUUUUAUUGAAUAUUUUUAUUAUAUUCAAAUAGUCAUAAUUUCACUUUAAAUGAAUGUUUUAGAUAUCUAAACUUAUUUUUAAUUAUGAAAUAUGUGUUUUCUAGUCGCAUACUACAUUUUUUACUGGUUUUGAGAUUUUCGAAGAAAAAUGACCAAAAUACCCCUGUGUAGUUGAAAUUUCUCUUUGACUGUUUUUGAAUUGAAAUUAGGUCAUAUCACUUUAAAACAUGAUAUUUGAUAAUGGUUACUCACAGAAAAAAUGAGAAACUGAUAUUAAAGCUUUGCAGGGUUUCGAUUGACAUUUCGAGUAAUGAGUGUCGAUCGGGACACUGCGGCGGUUAUCACGGGCUCGAGGGGAGUUUCGGGUCGUGAUAGAUGUCCCAUAACUAUACGUUCCCUGACUAGUUCCCAAAAUCAACCACUUUACCAGUUUUGUUUGAACAGAGCGCAUAAAUCUGAGGAAAUGCAUUAGUAAGCAGAAUACCUUUAAUCCACUAGUCCGUCCAAAACUAUUUGUUUUUACCAUUGCUUGUAACGAAGCCCAGAUUUGAUGUGACUUGCAAGAAAAACUUAUUAGUGAUAAUAAAAGGAUUAAUAAUUCUUUUCCACUAGCUAGAAAAAUUCCUAUUUACUCUCGUGUUUGGCAUAAAGGUGGAUGGAUCCCUGCAAGUCUUUUCCGUAAUCAUUUUCCUCCAUAGACUCACUCUUUCAUUUUUGUACCUCUAAAUCCAUUUGUUAAGUAGGGCUCUAUUUCGAUUCCCAAAUCGACAAUUCCUAUCCCUCCGCAGUCCGUAUAAUUGUUAACAGCCUCCUAUUUGAUGUAAUGAACUCUUUUCUUUUCCUCAUUAUCACCCUAGAGAAACUUUCGCUACAGCUUGUCGAUUUUGUUCUUAACACCGCUCGAAAGGUAAAACAGAGACAUGUAAUAGCAAAGAAGGUUUGCCAGGACUGAUUUUAAUAAGGUAAUGCGACCUCCCAUCGACAAAAAUUUCACCUUCCAACCCACGAGCUUGCUUUCCUCCUUUUCGAUGACUGGGUUCCAAAAACCCAUUGAGUUGUGAUUUAUUCCCAACAGUAAACCGAGAUAGGCAGUAGGGAUUCUACCCACUUUGUAGUUGAUAAAUCUCACCUAUUUUUCAACCAUAUGCUCUUUAAUGCUAAUGCCUAGAAGCUGACUCUUAUGGUAAUUAAUCUUGAGUCUUGAGACACUUUGGAAGCACUUCAGGAUUCUUUUAAGAACCAUCAACUUAUCUAACUCAUUGUUACAAAACAACAGAGUAUCGUAAGCAAACUAGAGAUGAGAAAUACAAAAAACCUCGUUUCCCGAUUCACACUACCUUACAUUUGCCAUUCGCUUCAGCCUUAUUUAGCAUACAACUUAGAGUUUUAACAAUGAUGAUAAAUAAAAAUGGUAAAAGAGGACAACUUCAGUGAAGUCCCCUUUUCAUUUUGAAUUGUCUCAACGAUGACUCAUUCACUAGAAUUGACACCAUAGCUGAACUAACACAUUCUUUAACCCACAACUUCCAUCGAUUGUCGAAACCCAUUUUUCUCAUGAUCAGAUCAAGGAAACUCUAGUAACGUAGUCGUAAGCCUUUUCAAAAUCAAUCUUAAACAUCAAACCCCCAUUUCCAUUUUUAAGAGCAUCAACCACUUCAUUGGCUAUAAGGGAACAGUCCAUAAUUUGUUGACCUUGCACGAAUGCAAAUUAGUUUCUGCCAAUGAUUUCUUCCACAACACCUUUCACUCUAUUGGCUAAAGUUUUUGCCAUAAUCUUGUAUACGCAUAUGACUAAACUUAUCGGUCGGUAGUCAUUCAAUCUUAUUGGACUUUGAACCUUCGAGGAUACGUGUGAGGAAAGAUGAAUUAACGCUCCUGCCUAAUUUACCAUUGCAAUAGAACUCAGCCAUGUAGUUCAUCACUUCUUUCUUUUCCACACGCCAUUGUUUUUUUAAGAAUUCCAUACUAUACCCAUUCGAUCUCGACACUUUCUCACCAUCGCAGCUUUGUAUUACUUCCCAGACUUCUUCUUCUGAGAAAGGUCUUUCUAGUAGCCUUAUUGAUUCUCUUUUAAAGACUUGAAUUAGCAUCUCAUAUCUUUUAGCUCAAGCACUUCUUUUAGCUCAAGCACUUCCUGCUCCAUAAAAUAAUUCUCGAAAUGAUUCACAAUAAUUUCUCUAAUUUCUUGUGGAUAUUCAAAUAUUCCUUCAUCACACUUUAUUUUCUCAAUGAAAUUUCUCCUUUGUCUAGCUGAAGCCAUGGCGUGGAAAUACUUUGUGUUUCGGUCUCCUUCUUGAACCCAUUUGCAUAUCGAUCUCUGCCUCUAUUCCACUUCCUCAGUUCUAUAAAGUCUCCAUAACUCAGCCUUCUUUUUUACAAUUUCCAUUUUUUCUAUUUCCUCUACUGCUUGGUCUUGGCUGACAUUAAACAUAGUCUUCAAAUCUUUUUCCACCUUCUGAAUCUACUUAUUUGUGCAUCCUAUUUCCUUUGCUUGCCACUUUUUAAUUAGUGGCUUUAGACCUCUCAAUUUUCCCAUAGCUUUUGUUUCGCCUCUCCUCAGUCUUGUCUCUAUUCUAAUGAUCCUUUACGAUUUGAUGGAAGCUUAUCUGAUCAAGCCAAUAGUUGAACAUUUUAAAAGGCCUAAGCCCCCAUUUAAAAGAGGUUGUCUUAACACAAUAGGAUUAUAGUCUGAUAAUGAGCUAGGAAGGCAGCUUUGAAUUAGUCCUUGCUCGAUCUGAAGCCAUUCAACCCCUAACAAAAACCUGUCGAUUCUGCUAUAGACCCAACCAUCUCUAAAGCCACACCAAGUGAAUUAAUCCUCUAUUAGUUCAAGGUCAACAAGAGCAAUGUUAUUAAUAAACUCGUUGAACUUUUCCUUUAGUUUUCCCACUCCUUUUUUCCUAACCCUUUCUUGUUCAUUUCUUAUUGUAUUAAAAUCUCCUUUCAAACACCAUAUAAUGUCUUUACUUUAGAUCAGUUGUUCAAGUUCCUCCCAUAGCUUUUUCUUCAAACUCUCUUCAUUGGGACUGUAGAUGUCUAUGAAUCCACAACAUUUUUUCACUCCACUUAUUUUCCCUAUUACAGUGAGGAAAUGUCAAUCUUGCACCUGUUCACACAACUAGAAGAAGUCAUCUCACCAUACACUAACUAAACCCCUUGAUCGUCUUCCCGAGAUAGCAUAGCUUCCAUUAAUCUUAUCCCCUCUAGUUCUCCACAAUUGCUUAAACAAAUUUCUUUCAACUUUCUGUAACUUUGUCUCUUGUAGUAGAACCAUAUUAGGUUUUUAUCUUUUUACAAUAUUUUUCGUCGUUAGUUUCUUUUCGUUCCUACCCAAACCUCUAACAUUCGACAAAAUUAUUAUCAUGUCAAGGGAAAGUACACUGAUUCUCUCAAACAUUCAAAACACUUACUUGCUAUGAGCCUUUUCGGUCAUGACCUCCUUCAUGCCAGUAACAUAGCAUAGAACCUCCUCUAUUCCUUUAACAAACUCAAGACUCAUCAAAUUACUCAUUUCAAAAAUCAAUUCAUUUUCCUUGUUUAUGUCCACACUGCCCUCAUCAGCAUCUUCAUCAUCGUCGGAACUUAUUUGUGCUGUGGCACUACAGUAUCUUCCAUCAUUUUUUCUUUCCAUCAUGUUUUGCCCAUUUCCAUUUUUCUUUGUGCACACUACCUUCCUUCCCCAUUUUUCAUUCCCAAAUUCUACUUGCUGUUUCAAUGAUGUGUCACCCUUACCUAGAGUCAAAUUCUCCGAAAAGCAUAAUUCCUCUUUUUCAUCCUCAACAUGAAGUUUAUACCCACCUUUCCUGCCUUUAAAAAAACCUUUAGCUUUUUUCAGAUUUGCUAUCCCUUUGCCUUUACUUUUCUUCCUUAUUUUCCUAUUACUUUCCCCCUUAACCUUCCUCUUUGAUUUCCUUCCAAUUGUUUUCACCAUAGACUUUCUUCUUCCAUCUCAUUUUGAGUCCUAGCUCCUUGAUCUAAGCCAUUUUUCUGGUAAUCUGUAAAAACUCAACUUGUUCAAAUGAAACCAACGAUCUGGCAGCUUCCUUUUCCUUUUCAAUAUUGGUUUACCUUCAUUCUUUCGAUCUUGAUAUCUUCUUUCCUCGAAUGUGAUUUUCAUUUGCUUGCUUUGUCUUUCAUCUUGCCCCCUCAAGACUUUGAUUGUUUCCUCGUCCCUUGACAACCUAUCCCCUUUCUCCUUUGAUUUGGCCUUGCCCUUUUCCAUUUUCACAACCCGCUCCAACAGCUUUAGCCUCUUGUCUCAUUCUUUACUAAAUUCUGGCCUGUUAAUUCCUCAUUUCCUAACUUGUGGGCUUGACACCUAGCUUCUAAUCCACAUUGGUUUCUAGUUUGGUCUUCAAAAACCUUUUCUAUGAUUGAACUUGUCUUACUUGUUUGGCCUAGACUUCCUCUUUCCCUUAGGUUUGACUCAACACUCUCUAUUCCUUUUUCAUUUGUAGAAUGGACACGUGACUUCUUUUUCAUUUGUUUUGUUUCCCCUUAUCCCGUCAGUGUCCCUUUUUCAAACUUUGAAUUGUCACCUUUUGUACCUUCCUUUGGUUGAAUAGAUGAUUUUACCCUUCAUUUUGUUUUUUUUUUCCUUUUUUGGCCUUACCAACUGAACAUCUUCAGCCCCUCUUUUGGUACUUUCUAUCGCACCCUCCACCCCUAAAUUGUUUUUAUCCAAGCCCCGAUCACCCUCAUCCGAUGUAUCACUAGGCGUCUCAUUGCAUCUCGAAAUUGCCUCACAGCUUAAAACUUCCUUUAUUGAAUCUCUGACUAGGAAACCUUUACCGUUAACCUCAAUUGGCAUGAAUGGAAAAAUAUCUUGAAGAGAUCUAACCUUCACAAGGAUGGUAGAAUAGUCCAGCCUCCACUUCUCCAUCGUGUCUUGGUCUGUUUGAAGAAACCUACCCCAAAUGUUCCCAAUUACUCUGAAGCUCUCCUCAUUUCGUAUGUGAAGGGAGAUUUCUUCAAUUUUGACCUAAACUUUGUACUACUUGACCUCUUCCCCAGCACUAUAAGGUGAAAGAGACGAGAACCAUGGUUCAAAAAUGUCCUAAUAAUGGUUCAACAAAGUCUCUAUUUCUUCUUUGUUUUUAAAAGACACCAAAACAAACUGACCCCCGAUAGGUCGAACACGGGUAUUUACCCCCUGACAGAACAAAGAAUUUUGGAUAGCUCUGCAACACAAAGGUCGUCUCAGUUCCCCGUGCGCACUGCAUUCCAACUAGUCAAGUUCAUCUUUUUCAAUCAAGAUCGUUCUAACCUCUCUCCCACAAUCAUCGUUCUUAGUAGUUUUUUCUAAAAAGCUUCUUCGACUUUCGCUAUUGCCACUGUUUCUUGUGUUCUCAAAGUUUCAUUAUCGGUGUUUCUAGUGAAAGAUUCUUUAUAGGUCAUUUUUCAGUUUGUCAUCGUCAUAUUUAUGAUUCUUCGCUCACUAUUCUCAUUACGUAACUCAUUUCUGUCUCUUGAUUUUUCUGCUUCAAACACCCGAAUUCUUCUUCCAUAAAUCCAUUUGACAUUUCCCCUUUAGAUAGCUGUUUUCAACUCAUUAAUUACUUUGUAUCUAAUGAAAGCAUAUUUGGCUUCCGCAUUGGCUUUCUGUUUUGGGAUAAAGACAUCAACCACAAUGCCAAAUUUGUCAAAGACUUCACUUAAGAGCCACCAAUCCACAUCAAUACUCAAGCUGCCCACAAAAGCAGAGAAGAGCUUGCUUAUCCACUUUCUAAUCCCCCAUGGAUCCUCCUUCCCCCCACCAGAAGUGCUCCAACCAUCUUGCCAAACCUCUCGCUCCCUAAUCCUACUUUUCUCUCUAAGCUUACCUCUCUCUCUCUCUUUCUCAUCAUUGCUUUUUUUACUAUAUAUGAAUAAAUUAUACACCUAAAGAUAGAAAGGAUCGCAUAACAUAUUGUUUCAUUGAAUUUUAUGCUUGUGAAUAACUUUUUUCAUAUUUUUCUUUUGAAAAGCAUUCAGUUUUUCCUUUUAUGUCUUAUUCAUGGUCCAUUGUGUAUUUUGUUCUUUCAUGAAGAUAUUGACAUCAAAUUUGGUUGUAGGUGGUUCUCUUUUCAUUAACUUUUUGAUUUAGGAUUUUUUUGUUUUUUAUAUUUUCUAAACUUUAUAUAUUUGUGUGUUAGUGUAUUGUUUAAUUCAAUUUUGAUGUAUUUUUAUCAUUAAUUGUGUUUAAUUAAUAAAUUUUGGAGCAUAUAGAAUGAAAUAGUAGAAAAAGAAGGUAUGAUUCUUCUAUAAAUUUAAAAGAUAACUAAAUUUAUUUAUUUUGUAUUUUUUAGAGUAUGGACAAAGAAACUACAAAUAUAAUUAAUAAAGAUUAAUUGUGUCUAAGAUUGGAAUUUAAUGAAGAUGAUUUUUCCUAUCAAUUGAACCAAUGGAAAAGUAGAAUCUAGAGCAAGAUAAGUGUUCAAAUAUGAUUGAUUCUAAUAUUAAUAUUAUGAUUUUAGCUCAUGUAAAUAUGUCAGAGAAAAUUAUUUUAAAAAUUGAAAUGAAAUUUGAAACGAAACAAGAUAUUUAUGAUUUUUACAAUAGAUUUGAAACUUGAUGUUCUCUCCAUGAUUGUAACCUCUACUCACCCUUUUGAUAUUGUUUCAGAGCUUUUGCUUUAUGGUUCAUGUUCUUACUAUUUUGCUUUAUUUUUGGCAUUGUCUUAUGGUACUAAGUACCAAUAGGUAAAUCUUUGAUUAAUGGUACUAAGUACCAGUAGGCUUGCUCAUUGAUUAUCCAUGCUAACUUGGAUCUCCAUAUAUAGGUUGAUAUCUUUACUGUAGUUUUCAGUAAUAUUAAUACAAUCUUUAUUUGGCUAAGGAAAAAAAAGGUUGCCAAGAGAAAUUGUAAUGAUGUUUUUGUUUCCAAAAUUGUUGAAUUGAACUAAGGUUGCCAAGAAAAAGUGAGGUAAUAUUUAUACUUCAAAAUUGUUAAAAACAGCUCUGGAUUGUCAAAGAAAAGAAAACACUGGGGUUGUUAGGAAAAGAUUUCUUUCAAGAUAGAACUUUCUAUUUUGGGGUUGUCGAAGAGUAUCUGAGUUCGCUAAGGAAUUAAAGAUGAAAAUUCUUUGAUCUUAUUUAAAUUGCAUCUUUCUAAGGAAAAGUGGUCUUUGGAGCUUUAUGAUUUGAUGAAUUCUUAAAAGAUGCCUUUGACAAGAGAUCAAUGUUUAGGAAUGGAACUGCAAGCGAUGCCCCUUAUAGGAAUGCAAAGAGUUACUCAUGAUAACUCCUGAUGGGAAAACAUCAAAUGAAAUUUAUUAUUUAUUUUUUUUCCAAAAAAUGAUGCAUUCAGAUUAAUGAUGUGUCUUGGUAGAAGAUAUAGAGAUUGAUUUCUUGAAUUUGCAAAAGAUGAUUUCUUCAAGAAGAUUGAUUGAAACGAAUGAUGCUCCCAUGGUGGGUGACAAUGAAUGAAACUGAUUUGGUAAAUGAUAAUGCAUUUAAACUAAUCAUGUCUCUAGGUGGGAAAAGAUUGAAAGCGAUUUCUUGAUUUUACAAGGUUAGAGAUUGGAGACACACCUUACGUCCAAAUGGUUUAGGUUUCAUUUUAGACUUCAUCAAUUUAAGUUAGCUUUUUGGUUGGAAUGUUAUUAGAGCCAACCUUAUAUCCAGGAGGUCAUCCUUAAGGUUACGCAGACAUUGUUAUGGCACCAAGGUUAAGUGCGCAUGUUCGAAGACAUAAGCGUCUUUCAGGAACAUAGUGGAGAUUAGAAACACACCUCGAGCCCAAAUGAUGUAAGUGAAAUUCUAGACUUCAUUCAGUCUUCAGCAUAAACCUCAACCCGAAACGAGUUACCCCAUGUAACUAAGAAAGAUUUGAGCUCAAAACAACCAAAUUUGAUAUAACUUAUAUGUUAUAAUAUUUUAUAUCAAAAUUUAUAUAAAUAAUAAUUAAUUAUAAAUAAUAUGUUAUAAAAUCUAAGAUGAUAGUUAAUAAAUUUAUUAAGUGUAAUCAUAUAAAUAAAUUUUAUUAUAAGUUAUAGUAAUGCUUAUGUAUAAAUUAAAUAUAUAUAAUAUUACUUUAUUAUAUAUAUAUAAUUAAUUAUACAAAUUAUAUGUUAAAAUGUUUUAUAUCAAAGUUUUGUAUAAAUAAUAACUAAUUAUAAACAAUAUGUUAUAAAAUCUAAGGUGAUAACAAAUAAAGUUAUUAAAUGUAAUCAUAUAAAUAAAGUCUAGUAUAAGUUAUAGUAAUUCUUAUGUAUAAAUUAAAUAUAUGUAUAUAUAAUAUAUGACUUUAUUUUAUAUAUAUAUAUAUAUGAAAUUAAUGACAUAACUUAUAUGUUAUAAUAUUUUAUAUCAAAAUUUGUAUAAAUAAUAAUUAAUUAUAAGCAACAUGUUAUAAAAUCUAAAGUGAUAGCUAAUAAACUUAUUAAGUGUAAUCAUAUAAAUAAAUUUAUUAUAAGUUAUAGUAAUGCUUAUGUAUAAAUUAAAUAUAUAUAAUAUUAUUUUAUUAUAUAUAUAAUUAAUGCAAAUUAUAUGUUAAAAUGUUUUAUAUCAAAGUUUUGUAUAAAUAAUAACUAAUUAUAAACAAAAUAUUAUAAAAUCUAAGGUGAUAACAAAUAAAGUUAUUAAAUGUAAUCANNNNNNNNNNNNNNNNNNNNNNNNNNNNNNNNNNNNNNNNNNNNNNNNNNNNNNNNNNNNNNNNNNNNNNNNNNNNNNNNNNNNNNNNNNNNNNNNNNNNNNNNNNNNNNNNNNNNNNNNNNNNNNNNNNNNNNNNNNNNNNNNNNNNNNNNNNNNNNNNNNNNNNNNNNNNNNNNNNNNNNNNNNNNNNNNNNNNNNNNNNNNNNNNNNNNNNNNNNNNNNNNNNNNNNNNNNNNNNNNNNNNNNNNNNNNNNNNNNNNNNNNNNNNNNNNNNNNNNNNNNNNNNNNNNNNUAAUAUAUUUUAAGUAAAUUAUUAAUUAAGUUUAUUAUCAAUUUUUCUUAAUAUAUAUAAAAAAUAUUUUAUAUAUUAAACUAUAUAUAAAUAUAUAAAAAACUAAUUUAGUUUUUUGGGUGGAUUGUUCCAAAAAUUUUAACAUCGAAAACUGAUAAAAACCCAAUUAGAUCAAAUAUUUUAAAUCAAUUAAUCUAAUAAAUCAAAAACCCACUGAGAAGUGAGUGCUCUACCUAGGAAACUAAAUUCUAUCUCUUCAUUUCAUAAGAAAAAUAAGAAAAUUCAUUGAUGUGUAAACCAAGUUCAACCCUCUUGCCCCAAGUCAUUGUGUUUUGUGCUUUUGUAGGAGUUAUAAAGCCCUUUGUCUCCACUACCUCUUCAAAGAAACACAACAAGUCAUAGCUGGGACUGAAGAGAAUCAAGCAAAGAAAGAAAAAAAAAACGCAAGAGACGAUAGUGCUCUACCCAUCGCUAGGCUUGGGCCAUGUGGUGCCAAUGGUGGAGCUAGGCAAACUCAUCCUACAACAGCGAAACCACCAAUUUUGCAUCACCAUCCUCCUUACUACUGG